GACAGAGGGUGCAAACGUUGUUCGGAAUUACUGGGCGUAAAGCGUGUGUAGGCGGCUAGGUAAGUCGGAUGUGAAAGCCCCGGGCUCAACUCGGGAAGUGCACUCGAUACUGCUUAGCUCGAGUACCGGAGAGGUUGGUGGAAUUCUCGGUGUAGAGGUGAAAUUCGUAGAUAUCGAGAGGAACACCGGUGGCGAAGGCGGCCAACUGGACGAGUACUGACGCUGAGACACGAAAGCGUGGGGGGCAAACAGG
rnacentral:rRNA from 1 species